rnacentral:lncRNA from 1 species
GGCCAGAGAGCCACGGGCAAGGGGCUGAGCUGAGGGGGGUUCCAGUGCCAGUUGCUUAAAAAUGCCCCUGUAGCACCAAGAGGUGCCAGACCCAAGUGAACUUAGUUGAGAAGCAAUAACACCCACAACCACACCCCAAAUAGACUGGGCCUCCACCUCCGAAGAUUCAUCCCUGGACCAGACACCAGUCAAGGUAAGGGCCAGCCACAGACAUGGGUCCCUGCGCUGGUCUCUGGGGCUUUCUUACAAGGGCCUUUGUCCCUGCUGUCUAACUGCUCUGUGCCUUCUGCCUCUCUGGAUCUGAGUUUCCCCAUCUGUGCCAGGGCUGCAUCUGGUGAUCUUUAAGCACUGGACCCAGCCCUGAGCAGCGCUGGGCCUAUGGGCCUAUUGGCUGCUCCUGCUGACUGAGGAGUUAGGGGCUGAGCUGAUGGUUUUGGCAGGCCAAGCUCCCACUGUGCCACAUCUUGGCAGUUUGCCCUGUCUCUACCUUAUAUCAGGUGCUCACUCCUCAGCGCCAAGGACCUGGGGAAAACUGUUUCCAACUAAUGGGUCCAUAAACAAAGACUGGAGAAGCAGUCGUGUAAGCUCAACAACUCCCCCCCGCCCCCCUCCCGGGAGUAGGAGACACCGGGGUUAAAAGGAUGGGAUGUUGGCUGUGUGUAGAAGGGAGGGGGAGGGGCUGAGCUCUGAUCCCAGAUCUGUGCUCAGUGCUGGACUAUGUGGCUCUGGGCAGGUUCCUAUCCCUUGCUGAGCCAGCUUGCCUGUCUAGAUGUGACAUAGUCAGGAGACAUAGUGUGGUUUCUGAACCAUUUGGGGGAAAUCCCCCACAGGAGAUUCCUGGGCUACAUCCAUCUUUGACCAUAGACUCUGAGUCCACGCAGUUGGUCAAAGCCCUGGGAGCUGUCGAGGCUGAGCUGAGUGUCAGUGAGAACACUCCCAGGGCAUCUAGCUGAAGUCCAGGAUCUGGCUUCCCCAGGGUGCUGUGCUACCUCUGGUGGGCACAGGGAUGAUGUCUGAUGCAAUAAGCCAUGUGUGCAAGACCUCAGGGCAGGAAUGGAGUGAAGAAAUCACAGAGAGCUUCCAGGGCCUUAGAAGGAAGGCCUGUGCUGGACACUGUGGGGCCAGGCAGCGCUCAGAUUGGAAUACAGGCAGCAUCCAACACCUUGGGCCCAGAAUGGAUCACAGACCUCCAGCUUCAGACUGUGCAACAUCUAUGCCUUCUUGUACCUGGUCACCCAAGGCCAUAUGGUUCUGAAGGAAGCACUGAGCUCCCCCCGGGAGGGUCCAACUCUGGCUUGUUUACAUAUUAGAAGCGGUUGAUCCCGUCAUCUGCCACCUCAACUUAGGCUCCUUCCUCUGUGGAAUAGCCUAAGUUCCGACAAACGGGCAUAAGCCUCACCUAUGCUUAUGGAGAGGAAAUGAGAUAGAGGGAAGAGAUGCCCAGAGCACCCUAGAGAGAGAGAAAGAUAGGACAAAUCCCAGUCGGAGGAAAGAAAGGAGCAGAGAGCGACGAGCUUAAGACAAUUCCCUUUGAGCCCAUCUUCUGCUUGAAGCUAGGAAUCAACCCUGCAAUCAGGACAGAGUUGAGGAACUGCAAACUCCGGGUGAAAGCAUAGCUCUAGCUGACAACAGAGUGGGGGCAGAAUGUAUGGCUGCCUAGGCAGGGGAUUCUUCAGGUGUUGUGAAUAAAAACAAUAGAUGGCUUUCAUUUGUUGAGCGCUUAGGAGGUCCAGGAACCUGAGACUUUUACGUUUAUUGAAGCCUUGCAGGACCAUGGGAGCUCAGUGCAGUUAUUCCCAUUUUACAGAGAGGUCAGACCCUGUGCAUGUGUGCUGGCUGCCCCAGGGUGUUGUCUCCAGCAAGACCCUCUAACUUCCCGCUCUGCUCCGGCCACCACGGUCUUCCUAGGAAGUGUCCAAUGAAUCUCACAGAUAAAAUAUAUAUGGGGCCACCCCCCACCCAGAGCCAGACACUAGCUACAUGGUUUCUAUUAUUUCCAUUAUUCUCAUCAAGAGUUGACUGAUUCCAACAUCCCUGGUUAGAGAGAAGGAAACCACAGCCCACCCAACGUCUCACCACUAGACACUAGGCAGGAGGCAUCAACCCAGCUUCACCUUCAUGCUCUUAGCUGCCUUCCCAACCCCCUGAGUGCUAUGAGGAAGCCAGACAUGAGAGGGAGACUCUAGUCCCAGGAUUUGUUCUGAGUCUUGACAAAAGAACAGAGGAGACUCACUGGUCCCCGCAGCCACAAUAUAGCUCUGUGGCCAACCUCAGUCCUUUCUCCUACCUGGCUAGUGCUAGAGAAAAGCUAAUCCAUACAGCUCUGCUGAGGAGAACGUUCCAGACCUCAAGCUGCCAUGGACUGAACCAGCUUUGAAUGACUCCCCAGCUGAGAAGACUCCCUAGAGUAGGUCUCCAAGGUCCUUGAUGGUGGCCUUGUCACUUCCAGGUCCUGGGUGGCUCAAAGAACCAUGAGAAACCUGGGCAUGGUGACACAUACCUAGAAUCCCAGCAUUCAGGAGUUAGAGGCAGGGGGAUCUCAGUGAGUUCAAGGCAACCAGGUCAGCUAGGGCUAUAUCCUGGAAGAAGAACAAAA